rnacentral:tRNA from 1 species
GCAUCAGUGGUUUAAUGGCAGAAUUUUUGCCUUCCACGUGGGAGACCAGGUUCAAUUCCUGACUAGUGCA